UGCGCUGAAUCAUUGUUUCUCAUUUUCUGGAUUCUAUUGAUUUAGCUAAGGCUUGAAGCAGACAUAUCAGUGUUUCUGCUUUCUGCAUUAGGGAAAAAUGAGGCAUCAUGCAUGCUCCAAAUUAUAUGUAGUGUGGUUUUCUGAACUAAGUUAUUCACUUUUCCCUUGUGCCCUUGGUUGAGUACUAAGAAUAAGAAUAUGCUAUUCUUUAUCAUUACAUCAUGAGAAAUCAACAUAAACUAUUUUACAUAAUCAGUAAAGAGAAACGUUUUGGUUGACUGCUCAAGAAAGAGGCCUGGACAGUCAUACUGCACCGCGCUACUAAUACACUUCUUUGUUUUCUCUUACAAUCUUGGUUUUCCUUAUUGUCUGAUAGGUAGUUGCUUUGUUGGGUAUGGUGGUAUAUAGAUUUUACGGAGAUGAACUAUUAGAAAUGUUUGGUUAUGAAGAACAUCCAUAUGCUUUCUACGCGAUGUCAAUAUUGGCUAUUGUUUUGGUUGAUUUGCUGUAUGGGUUCUUCAUUGCUAUAACAUGUGGGCAGAGGAUCACUGAACGGCAUUACCAUGUUCUUGCAAAGCAAGAGUUAACCAAGUGGUGGCAGGAGUAUAUUGUAGAGGAUCUGGAAGAAGCUGACCAAGUGCCAGACCUUGAUCCUAACCAUGUUACAGAGUUAAA